UGGGGAAUAUUGCACAAUGGGCGCAAGCCUGAUGCAGCCAUGCCGCGUGUAUGAAGAAGGCCUUCGGGUUGUAAAGUACUUUCAGCGGGGAGGAAGGUGUUGAGGUUAAUAACCUCAGCAAUUGACGUUACCCGCAGAAGAAGCACCGGCUAACUCCGUGCCAGCAGCCGCGGUAAUACGGAGGGUGCAAGCGUUAAUCGGAAUUACUGGGCGUAAAGCGCACGCAGGCGGUCUGUCAAGUCGGAUGUGAAAUCCCCGGGCUCAACCUGGGAACUGCAUUCGAAACUGGCAGGCUAGAGUCUUGUAGAGGGGGGUAGAAUUCCAGGUGUAGCUGUGAAAUGCGUAGAGAUCUGGAGGAAUACCGGUGGCGAAGGCGGCCCCCUGGACAAAGACUGACGCUCAGGUGCGAAAGCGUGGGGAGCAAACA
rnacentral:rRNA from 1 species